UUAAAAUGUUAAAAUUUAAACUAAAGUAGUAGUAGUUAUGUUCUUUAAAUUUAAAGAUUUUGGCGGUAUUUUAGUCUAUUCAGAGGAACCUGUUCUGUAAUUGAUAGUCCACGAUUAACUUUACUUAAAUUUAAAAGUUUGUAUAUCGUUGUUUAUAGAAAAUUUUUUAAGAAAAAUAAUUUUUAAUAAAUUUAAUUAAAUUAUAAAUCAAAUCAAGGUGCAGUUUAUAUUUAAGUAGAAAUGGGUUACAAUAAAAUUAUUUAAACGAAUUUAAAUUUUAACAUGUUUAAUGAAGGAGGAUUUGAUAGUAAUUUUAUUAAUUUUAAUAAAAUGAUUAUAGCUCUAGAAUAUGU
rnacentral:rRNA from 1 species